rnacentral:rRNA from 1 species
UACGUAGGGCGCAAGCGUUGUCCGGAAUUAUUGGGCGUAAAGAGCUCGUAGGCGGUGUGUCGCGUCGGCCGUGAAAACCUGCAGCUUAACUGUGGGCUUGCGGUCGAUACGGGCAUCACUGGAGUUCGGCAGGGGAGACUGGAAUUCCUGGUGUAGCGGUGAAAUGCGCAGAUAUCAGGAGGAACACCCGUGGCGAAAGCGGCUCUCUGGGACGGUACUGACGCUGAGACGCGAAAGCGUGGGGAGCAAACAGG